ACAGCAGCGAGCCGGGAGCGCCACCUUCCGCUUCCGCGCUCCCGGCCGCGCAUGCGCGCGGAUCGGUAUGGGUACGCCCAGGGCAUCCCUCAGUAUCAACUUUCUUCUGUCAUAGAGGACAGUUGUUAACAUCUCAAGCCAAAGUUGAUCCAACCUGAAAAUACUUACAGCAGAAGCCGGUCUGGAAAGUGAACUAAGCAUACCUGGGUUUACUGGUGGAAGCCCAGGUGGGAUGACAGGAUGCAUCUGUGUCAAGCCAAAGAAAGAGGUGCAAACAGUUCCAUAACGGGAACCAAAGUCUGAUAGUGCAGCAAUAGCACUGGAGCAAUAUUCCCAUCAGAUUACAGAAGCUGUGUUAGCUAUAUAGGAUGAAGUCUGUUUUCUGGAAUAUGAUCCAUGUCUGACACGCCAGGGCUGCAAGACAAAUCCAGGGAGAAGCUACUGGGAAGCCAGAAGUCAGCUAACAGCCACUGAUGCUGUGCUGGUGAGGACUGGAAUCAGACCUUUCCCAGUAAAAUGCUUCCAAAAUUA